rnacentral:rRNA from 1 species
ACCUGCGGUGCAUUAGCUAGUUGGUAAGGUAACGGCUUACCAAGGCGAUGAUGCAUAGCCGAGUUGAGAGACUGAUCGGCCACAAUGGAACUGAGACACGGUCCAUACUCCUACGGGAGGCAGCAGUAGGGAAUCUUCCACAAUGGGCGCAAGCCUGAUGGAGCAACACCGCGUGAGUGAAGAAGGGUUUCGGCUCGUAAAGCUCUGUUGUUGGAGAAGAACGUGCGUGAGAGUAACUGUUCACGCAGUGACGGUAUCCAACCAGAAAGUCACGGCUAACUACGUGCCAGCAGCCGCGGUAAUACGUAGGUGGCAAGCGUUAUCCGGAUUUAUUGGGCGUAAAGCGAGCGCAGGCGGUUGCUUAGGUCUGAUGUGAAAGCCUUCGGCUUAACCGAAGAAGUGCAUCGGAAACCGGGCGACUUGAGUGCAGAAGAGGACAGUGGAACUCCAUGUGUAGCGGUGGAAUGCGUAGAUAUAUGGAAGAACACCAGUGGCGAAGGCGGCUGUCUGGUCUGCAACUGACGCUGAGGCUCGAAAGCAUGGGUAGCGAACAGGAUUAGAUACCCUGGUAGUCCAUGCCGUAAACGAUGAGUGCUAGGUGUUGGAGGGUUUCCGCCCUUCAGUGCCGG